GGAGGGUUAGCAUAACGGUAAUGCAGCAGUUUACUAAACUGCCGUCCGUAAGGAUUUACAGGUUCGAAUCCUGUACCCUCCGCCA
rnacentral:tRNA from 1 species